AUUAACCGUAUCUGCAAUUUUUGAUUCAUUGAGUAUGGAUAAUCCUCAAUUUCGGGCAUUUGUCUCUGUUGAUGGAUUGGCUGAGAUGUUCGUUUUUGAGUGUUUGAGCAGAAGAUCUCCGUAGGAACGAUUCACAAUCAAUUUAGCCUCCUUUGGAUGUUGAGGAAAUUAAAGAUCUCCGUCGGAACGAUUCACAACCAAUUUAGCUUCCUUUGGAUGUUGAGGAAAUUAUCUAAUUUUACUCGUGGCCUUGGCAAAAUUAUUGUUAAAUAUAUUGGUGCCCAUAGUUUUGAGAUAUGGGGUACCUUGAACUUGUGUCUUGAGUGUUUGAGCAGAAGAUCUCCGUAGGAACGAUUCACAACCAAUUUAGCUUCCUUUGGAUGUUGAGGAAAUUAAAGAUCUCCGUCGGAACGAUUCACAACCAAUUUAGCUUCCUUUGGAUGUUGAGGAAAUUAUCUAAUUUUACUCGUGGCCUUGGCAAAAUUAUUGUUAAAUAUAUUGGUGCCCACAGUUUUGAGAUAUGGGGUACCUUGAACUUGUGUCCGAGUGGUUUAGUUAAGAAUGGAGGCCGGCGUUGGAAAGUGUUUCAACUUUCAAUUGUAUACGAUGGUUAAUUUCGUGAACACCUGCCUAGAUGGGAAGAAGUUGGGCUGGUACUGAAUGUGAUCAGAACAGCUGGGAGGCUGUUUUAGCACAACUUUAGCUGGCUUGUAGGUCUUUAGAUCUGCUCUGCUUAUUAUGUGCGAUUUUAGUACAUACGAUCAGCUGGGAGGCUGUUUUAGCACAACUUUAGCUGGCUUGUAGGUCUUUAGAUCUGCUCUGCUUAUUAUGUGUGAUUUUAGUACAUACGAUCAUUGAUGUUUUGUGACAGUAUGUAAAUUGCAGCUAUCAAUUAAAAUUCCAAUGAGAAAUUAAGUGUUUGGAAUUGUAAGAUCACGUGGAAAAAAUUGAUGAAGAAUUUCUUUCUUGCACUGUUCCUUUUGUCCUGAAGACUGGGACAAUAAACACAAGCAUUUCUAAGUAUGUAUCUGGUUAAUCUGAAGUUGCAAAGCCGGUGUUUGAAUCAAAUGGAAGUAGUAGUCGUGAAUCCUUCUCUUUGGACAUCUAUCUCAAUCUUCUGUUCAGUUUGUUAAUCACUCUGUUUCCUUUUUCUAUUUCGCGUUCAACUUUUGAUACUGGUAUCCGUUGAGGCUAUUGGUAUUUGUAGUUUUCACUUUUCCUUUAGUAGGCUGACUUAGGAUUGUGAGUUUCAACUUUCAAGUGCCUUCCAGGCCUUCUGGUUUGUUUUAUCUUCCAACCGAUCUAAUCUUGGUCUCCUGAAGGAGAUCAUCUAGUAUGUGUGGUGGUAGCUGUACUUGACUGAUGGUAAUGAUGUUGUACACUUUACCCAUUUCCGUAUGAGAGGUAGAUUGUUGGACCGUGGAAAAUAAGAUAUUGUGGCACGUCGCUUUUUAUUUGCAACUUCAGUUUUUGUGAAUUUUAGUAAAAUGUUAGGCAUGUGCAAUGAUGAGGCCUUUCAUUAACAAAGAUAAGCCUCAGGGCAAAAAGCUGAAUUAAAACAAAGGGAAAAGAAAGACCAGAGAGUAUGGACCACUUGGAUGUUUUGACCCAACGGAUAACAUUUUCCUUUCUAACUAUGAAAGAAUCUAACUAACUGUUAGGAAUGUAUAAAAUUCUUCUUCAGGGUAAGAUUCCCUUGUUGAAGUGGCAUGUGCAGAAUCUCAGACAGAGGUAGGGUUGUCUGUGAUGGACAACAAAUAAUUCAUCCCUGCAGUCCCACACUUUUCCCAAUAUUUUUCUCUCAGGACGGGUUUGAUUGUUGUCCAUUGCUUUUACGUUAGGUUGGACUAUCCUUCAUCAGUAUCUCUUUAAAUGGAGUUCUCCAAGAAUGAAGUCAUCAUGCAAUCAUUAUUAUCUACUGCUGGACGCUUUGGAGCUCCACAAUGCUUCACGAUAGUUCUAGUUUGGGUUCCUUUUGAACCUACUUGUGGAUUCUUGUAGAUCAACUUAUUUUGAUGAAUUCUCAUGGUGGAGUUUGCUGAUUGGAGCUCUCAGCCUUUGUUGGAAUUUGUUGUUGCUGGUUUCAAUUGGUGUUCAUGUGCGACAACACAACAUUGUCUGGGGUGUUUUGCCCAUUCGGAGGGGCAAGUAGACCUGCCUUUGUAGGUUUAGGAUUUUUCCCUUAAACUGUUUCCUGAAUGCAGGGCUUGUAGUUGUUAAAUUCAUCCAUAAGGCUCAAUGGGAGACGUAGUAAUUGAGCAUUCAGGGACGCCACGUUGUGAGGCCUUAAACUUGCAAAAUUUUACAACAUCUGAGAAUGAUGCUGAUCUGGUUCAGAGUUUCCAUGGGGGCUACUUGCCUGAGGAUGGUACAUGUGUAGAAAAAUCCACUUCUACUGAAGCCCUUGACAGAGGAUACUUGGAAUAUGGGUAUGUUCUCUGACUCUUUCAUGAUGGUAAACUUAUGUCUAUUUUGUACAAUCAUUCUUGGUUGAUCUUUGAUCACGUAUUCUGUUGUAAUACUGAAGGUGUAGAUACAUAUCAUAAUAUAUGUUUGCUACACCUCAUACAUAGUGGAUGUUAUGAUCAUCAAUUAAUCUCUGAUGUGUUUUUUUCCCCAGCUGUUCACACUAUCGGCGUAGAUGUCGCAUUAGAGCCCCAUGCUGCAAUGAGAUAUUUGACUGCAGGCAUUGUCAUAAUGAAGCUAAGGUAAGACCUGAGGUAAAUACAUUAUCUCAUCACAAAAAAAUAAAAAGGAAGGAUGAGGGGGUAAGAGCUGAUAAAUGAUGGGAGUCAUAAUUUGGGCAAUAGACAAGCUAAUUGGUGAUGGAAGCUUACACUUACGAAUAAGUAUAAUAUGUCUUGUCUGUGGCUAAAGAGGUGCAUAAUAUGCUACAUAAGUAAGAUUCCAGUUAAUAAGAUGCCUGCAUCCAGUGGUAUAUGCAAAAUUGUUUGAAUGUGUGCAAUUCUUUUCUUUAACCUUUUGAUUGCAAGGCACCUUGGUUUACACCUCAUAGAAUCCAUUGCAGGCGGCUACGGGUCAUUUAGAUUUUACCUUAUCAGCAAAGAUUCUAAUUUUGUUCGCAAUGAUUACUCAUCUUCCAUGCUUGGCUGUUAAAAACUUUACUGCCAUAUUUGCUUGUCUACAGAACAAUAUCAGCCUUGAUCAGAAACUACGACAUGAGAUUCCUCGUCACAAGGUGGAAAGGGUAAUGCUCCUGACUGGGACUGUUGUACUACUUUGCAGAUAACUUUUCCCUAUAUAGGGUUCUCUUCCAUUCCCUCAUUUUCAUCAGCUAGCUUCACCUUCUCUUCACUUAAUUUUGUAUGGAAUCUGAACAUGAUGCAUCUGAACAUGAUGCGUAAGAAAAUAUAUAUUCUCAUUCGUUGUGGUUCUUUGCAGGUUAUAUGCGCACUUUGUGAUACUGAACAAGAGGUGAGUGGUGGUUAUGUCAUUCCUUCUUUACACACUUUUAUAUGGUCAUGAUCUAAAGUAUUUUUGCAAUUGAGCAACACAAGACUCUUGCUUGAGCAUGUUACACUUCAUUGGGCAAGAACUGAGUUCUCUUGGUUUUGAAGUUUUCUAUUCUAGCUAUAAGCAGUUUGCGUUCUGACCAGUUAUCACUCCUCUACCAGGUUCGUCAAGUUUGUAUUAAUUGCGGCGUGUGCAUGGGGAGAUAUUUCUGUGAAACCUGUAAGCUAUUUGAUGAUGAUGUAAGUUGAAACUCUAUUCACUUUAGUUUUUCACGUGAGGAUGGUUGAUACAUACAUUGAAUUCAAGGAGUGGAUAGUAACAGGAAAUGCAGCUGUAAGUAAAAUAUUUAAUGUGCUGACCAACCUCUGCCCAUUUUUCAUGUUGCAGAUAUCCAAGAGACAGUAUCACUGCAAUGGUUGUGGCAUUUGCAGGUAUUGUUACUUUGCUGAAAUUCCACUGCCUUCCCCAUUCUGCUUAUCCUUUUGUCUUCCUUCCUCUUUCUCUUUGUCUGUCAUUUCUGUUGAGGCUCUGGUAGAGAGAGAAAGCAACUUAAGAAAAGGAAAUGACACCUUAACACCUUUGCUAACAGCAUCCACUUGCAAUAAGCAUUCAGUUCCAAUUCAUCUGAACAUUCAUUCUUGCCCUGUAUGUUUGAUGUCUAAGCUCUGCAUGAAUUUUGAUGUUGGUGUUUUAUUUUGAUUAUUUUCUUAUUUCUAGGAUUGGUGGAGCGGAGAACUUCUUCCACUGUUCCAAAUGCAGUAAGUCUCAGUCGUCCCUUUGUUUAUCAUAUACUCCCAUCCUAUGCAUGCCGUACACUCCAUUCGGUUUAGGAAUUUCUUCUCUCUUACUGGCUGAUGGUUGUGGGGUACAGGAUGUUGUUAUUCAGUUCUCUUGAAGAAUGGUCACCCCUGUGUUGAGGGGGCAAUGCAUCAUGACUGUCCUGUUUGUUUUGAGGUAUGCAUUGCGCAUAAAACUUCUCUUCAGUUUCUUUUACCCUCAUUUAAACCUUUACUGUGAUCAGCAUUUUGUUCCAACCGAAUGAAUUGAGAAUGGUGGUUAUAUGCAGUAUCUCUUUGAGUCAGUAAAUGAUGUAACAGUCCUGCCCUGUGGACACACUAUUCACAAGAACUGCUUGAAGGAGAUGCAGGAACACUACCAGUAAGUUAGUGCUAUUUUUAAUUGUUCUUUAGUUUCCACAUGUGAGGGU
rnacentral:lncRNA from 1 species